rnacentral:lncRNA from 1 species
GACAGAGAAAGAUAAAGACACAGAGACAGAGAGAUGUGGUGCUGGGAAUGGAACCCAGGGCCUCACACAUGCUAGACCAGCACACUACCACUGAGCUACACCUAGCCCUGGCCCCUAUAAUGCUUUUCUUUUUAUUAAAGGUGGAGCUUCUUAAAUGCUGGUGAAACUGGAGGCAUGGCGAUUCAGGGAGAGAAGAGCAUGGAGUGAAAAGCACCACUUCUGCUUCAGCUCUAUCUGCUGCCACAGAAGGAAGUCUGGGAGAGCAACAGAUCCAAAGCAAGGGGAAAGAAGCAGUCCAGUGUGUGCACUAGGAGCCCCUGAUGAAUAUCAUGAAUGCAGUUGAAAAAAGCUUGGUGAUCAGAGUGCAAAUGAGUCAGUGGCAAGUGAAAGAAGGCAAUGAGACAAUAAGGCUUUAGGAUGUUUCUCAAAUUCUUAUUUCUUUGCCAUCCUUGAAAAUAAAAUACAGCUCAGAAAAGUUUAUGGAACUGCCCUUUUCAAAUAAAUAAGGCAACAUAAUUUACUGAUAAUCCUGUCAACCCCCAAGUCUGUUACGGAUAGUGUUGAGAGAGCUGGCCUUACUCAAGACAGGACUAACUGGUGAAUGUUUAGUAAUACCAAGAGAUUACUAUCUCUGUCUCAGGCAAGUUUCUAGCCAGAGGGAAGAUCAGUUCCAGGCUAUGAGAAGGUUCUUGGUUUAAGUCAUAUUUUACACACACACACACACACACACACACACGAAUAUUUUAGUAGAUUCUGUAUCCCAUACAAAAACAAAAAUGGACUAACUGGUCUAAAUCACUGCUAAAAACAUUUUCAUAUGCUAAAGGAAAAAGCAUUAAGUAGCAUACCUAUUUUCCCCUCUACCUCAGCCCCUUGUAAACACUAAUUUGUUACUUUCUAGUGGAUUUAUCUAAUGAAGAUAUUUCAUACAAAUGGAAUAUCACAAUAUGUGAAUUUUUAUAUCUGAUUGUUUCACCUAGCAUAAUAUUUUUCUUUUUUUUAAUUUUUUUUAGUUGUAGAUGGACACAAGACCUUUAUUUUAUUUAUAUAUUUUUAUGUGGUACUGAGGAUCAAACCCAGUGCCUCACAUGUGCUAGACAAGCACUCUGCCACUGAGCUACAACCCCA